GGGGAUAUAGCUCAGUUGAUAGAGUGCUUGCCUUGCAUACACCAAACCCUGGGUUCAAUUCCCAGCACCACCA
rnacentral:tRNA from 1 species